rnacentral:rRNA from 1 species
GACGAACGCUGGCGGCGCGCUUAACACAUGCAAGUCGAGCGAGAACCAGGGCUUCGGCCCUGGGGACAGCGGCGAACGGGUGAGUAACACGUGGGUAAUCCACCCUCGGCACCGGAAUAGCCCGGGGAAACCCGGAUUAAUGCCGGAUGGCCCACCGGCCCUGCGGGGCUGGUGGAAAAGGUAGCUUCGGCCUCCGGCCGAGGACGAGCCCGCGACGGAUUAGCUUGUUGGUGGGGUAAAGGCCCACCAAGGCGAUGAUCGGUAGCUGGUCUGAGAGGAUGAUCAGCCACACUGGGACUGAGACACGGCCCAGACUCCUACGGGAGGCAGCAGUGGGGAAUUUUGGACAAUGGGGGCAACCCUGAUCCAGCCAUUCCGCGUGAGUGAAGAAGGCCUUCGGGUUGUAAAGCUCUUUUGUCCGGAACGAAACGGUUAGUUCUAAUACGACUGACUACUGACGGUACCGGAAGAAUAAGCACCGGCUAACUACGUGCCAGCCGCCGCAGUAAGAC